rnacentral:lncRNA from 1 species
GCAUUCUGUGUUAAGAGAUAAGUUUCUUGCAUACUAACUAGGUUUGACUGUGUUACUCAUAGCAGAUUUAAAAUUAGCUAGUGUUGCACCAGUCUUAUCUGGAGAAAUUAUUUAAUAUUCUAUACGAGAUGUGAUAUUCUUUGGUAGCUUCUGCUUUUGCACCAUAUGCAAAGAUGCCAAAAGACUAGACAGAAAACUAAAAUGGGUAUAUCGUUCACUUUUAGUCGGCAGACUUAGUGUUGCUCUCUAUCUGCCUAGGCAUUAUUGUGCAACUGCAUUUUGCAUAUAUGCCACUUGUGAUGAUAACAGUAAUAUUUUGAUAUUCUCUAAUAGUAGCAUAAUUUUGCCUUUUUAAACCUUUGAUCUGAAUCUUGCAAUAGAGCAGUUUAUUUAUUAGCAUAUAGGAGGCUGGGUUUUAACUCCCCUUUCCUCUUGUCUGAACGUUGUUCUUUCUAAAAAUCCUCUUUUGCAGGAGAAAAUCCUUUCUAACUAGUGGAAAGGCUUGUGUGUGUAUGUGAGAGUGCCGUGUGUUGGUCUCUGUGGCUCUCUAAAUAGUAUAGCAACGUGUCCACACCUGAUAUUUAUCUAGCCUUUAUGGCUGGCUUAUUUUAUUUUAUUUAUGAUUAUGACAUGCAAACGAAGCUGUUCUUUGCAUGAAGAUUUUCUGAAAGAAGAGAACAGAUCCGCUCUUUGAAGGACUUUCAGAAGUGUGUGUCCUGGAAGGCAAGCACGUUACUUGCAUUAGUGUCCAGAGUUGGUUUGUGUGUUUCACUUACUAAAGUGGCCAGUUCUCAAGGCAAAAAUCCUAGCAAUGAGAUGCUUGCAUCUCACAUGAAUUCUCUUGAAGGAGGUGUAUGUAUCUGAGGGCAGGCUGUAGUACUUGGUUAAGGAGAACUGUAUCUUUUGUAUGUGUUCAGUUGACAAAGAAUACAGCCUUGUAGCCGUCUUUUUGUAGUACUGGUUUAAGACACAGAAAAUUAAUAUAGUAUGAGAUCUCAAAAUAAGAUUUAAAAAAAUAUAUGAGAAGAUUGUUUUUGAAAGACAAACAAUGAAUGUAAAAACUUCACUCGCUGCUCAUAUUUAGAAGCAGCAGUCAAUCCGUAGCUUUGUUGCAGCCAACAGUGGGGGUUUGUGAAUAUUCAUCUGCAGGGCUGUGUUCUGGGGUUUUUCAGGGGUAGGGAAAUUGUUGUGCAUUUAUUAUCAGAUAUCGUACUGGUCUUGCCUAAUGCUGUAUAGGAGAGAGAGAAUGUAUUAUUAUUAAUGGUCUGGAUGCUGGAGCCCCUUCUGGGACUCUGAGGAUCUCUUUUGGGUUUAGCAGCUUAGGAAGAACUCAAAUGCAUUUGCAACACUUUAUUUAAAUGUUUGUAGUUUAAAGAAGUUUGUAUAUAUGUAACAUAAGUGAUUUGGAAAUCAGACCUACCUUUCUAUUGCAACGCAUUUUGGUUGGUUGCUUGAACAGUCGGAGGUGUCUGGCUGUCUGGAGAGCUAGACAUGGAGCAUGUGUUGGGUUGAUACUUGCAAGUGGAAGGAUGAGGUUGCUGUUUUGUGCAGUCUGAGAAUCCUUGCUUUGGUACCUGUACAAAGUUAGGUAUUACAGAAGAAGCUCUCUAACCUGGGGCUCUGUUUAGUCCCUGUGACUGAUCACAAACCUUUUCCAGCACCUCACCAUUUAAGCUUGCACAGAAGCUACUCUGGGCAUGUGCUGGAGGGCGGGCAGGUAGGCUCAGGGCUUUUGACACUCUUCCCAGCAGUGAUCUGAAUGUGAGCUUUGGCAUCACCCAUCUUCUCACACUGGAGACUCAGGCCACAGCUCUGCUUCUCAUCCAAGGCAGGUGGCUGGCAGAGGUGACAGCUCAGGGACUCAGCUGACUGUGCAGAGACAGAACUGAGCCUCACGGGUGACGGAGGGUUAUCAAAGGCCAGUGGGCAGCACAGCUUCAGCAAGUGAACCUCAGAAAUAUGCAUGCCUUGAUCUUUCCCUGCCUGCCUGCAGGUCACUAUUUUAGAUCAUUGCUCUUUCAGCCAUUUGCAGAGAAGUGUGUCUGUCUGGUAGGAAGCUGCUGUGUGCAUCUUGUGGAUUAUUCUGCCAGGACCAUGAAGUUUGCAAAGUUGAAGCUUCAGUGCAGGGAAGAGGAGAGGGAAGGUAUGUGGCUGAAUCCUGCUGUGAAUGGAUGGUAACUCCUUCCACAGUCUUGAUAACCUGCUUUGGACUGCUGGCCUCUUUGUGCGCUCUAGAGAAUCAUGCUUAAAAUGUUCUGAUCUCUAGAGCUCCUUUGGCUUCAUUCCUUGGAUCAGUCUCUGAUUCCUCUGCUUUCUCCCUGUGAAGUUGCUUAUGCUUUAAUAGAUUUAUCGGUGUUCGAAUUGCCUGAUUUUUGAGAUAAAUACAAGAUAGGUGCUCUUUGCAUAUCAGGUUUGAAAGCUGCAUCCUAAAAUAGAGAAAUUCUAGGGGGAAAAAGGCACUGAGGUAUCUAUCCUCUGUGUGUUCUCAAAAUCCGUUAACUUGGUGGCAGUCAAGCAGAUUCUCUUGCUCAUGCUUGUAGCCUGGUAGUAUGCCACAGCUGUGGCUAUUGUCUCUGUUAGCUCUACUGUCCUUUUUCUCUCUGCUCUGUUAAAAUCUAUUGGUCCUCCUAUAGAUCCCUUCUUCAGUGACCAACCUUCUAUAAAACUUGUGAUUAUAAAGCUGCUUUGGCUUGAUUCAGGACCAAGCCUUUUAAUUCUUCUUUGUUUCCUUUUUCCUUUGUGGUUUGUUAGAGUGGAGGUGGUUGGGGUGGUUUUUACCACUGAGUAGCCAAAGGGCUCAGUGCGUCCUUCAGAGGUUUUUGAGAGGUGUGCGUUGGCAACCACAGAUUCAAACACAGGUUAGUUACAGAACUCCAAAUAAUGCCUUAACUUGGUCAACGUAUUGCAGCUCAGCUUCUGGGACUCGCUAGAUAGUGAGACUGGCUUAGCAAAACUGUUUAUCAGUAGUAACACGAGACCCACACCAAAACAUGGUUUUGAUUUGGAGCAGAGGAAGCAGCUGUUUUGCAAAUCAAUGAGUUUGAGUCUGUUGAAUGCAGCCGACUGCUGGUGAAUAUGCAAUAAGAAGCUCCACUUCUCAGAGUCUGGCCAAAGACCUGUCCUGUUGGCACAGAAAUUGGAAGAAGAGCUUAUGCCUGUCAGCUGAGCCUGGGUGAGCAGCUGGCUCUCAGAAUACCUGUUCUGACUAAAGAAUGGCUUAAGAGAACCUGGAAUUGCUGCUUUUGCCAGGUACAGAUCAGUUCCCAAUGUCUGCCUUUGGUCUGCAGUGCUGCACAAGGCUCCUCUGGGAUGGGAGGGUUGUUACCUGAGCUCUUUGAUGAGAAGGAGCCUGUGUUAGAGGCUGAUGAUGGUCUCUUUUAUACAAAAAAUCAAAUCUUAAAUGGCUCUUCCUGCCGUGGCAGCACUGUGAUUUGUCACCAAGAAUACACAAGCUUAGUUUUCUGGAGAAGCAUUUAAUCUUGGGAGACAAGAGAGCAUGAGGAGUUACAGCUGAGAGCUGCCUGCUGCCGCGUCACUCCUCUGGAUAAGGGAGAAAAAGGCUUUGGCCUGGGUCUCAUGCUAUAAUUUUACUUUUGGGGAGCUACUAAAAUACCUGGUUUUCCUUCACAAACCUGAAAAGGCUUUUUUUCCUUUUUGGGAGUAAUUAAAAACCCCUUAACUUACAUAAAAACAUGUAAGUCUUAACUGUUGAAAAAGUCAAAGGAAAUGGGUGGGUAUGGCUCUUCCGUGAUUGUGGUGAUAGCUUUCUGACUUUUUCCACAGUUGCAACAAUUCCCACUGGGAUAGCCUGUGCUUUUGCCCAGGUGAGGCUCCUGAGCGACUGCUACAGGUUUUGAGACCUUUUUGAGGUUCCCUGGUUGCUUGGCCCUGCGAGGCCACGUGUUUUGGGGUUACGAGGCAGCCUUCUCCUUCAUCCAGCCUUUCCAGCUGCGGAGCUUUGUGCCGCACGCGGUUGGCAGUGGCUGUGGUUGCUUUCCUGGGUUGUUGUAGGAUGUUGCUGGUGUGGAAGUGAGAGCGCCAUUGGGGAUUGCUCACCCUGUGCCAGGCACUGGAGGAGCAGAGUAGCUGACAUAGCCCAUGUGGUGUGAGAAACUGAGGAGUGGUGGGAAUUGCCACUUCUCUGUUUCCUUCCCAACUGGCUGUCCUUGUCCCUUCAGUCAAAACUGGUGCUCACCACUUCGGUUGCACCAGGAACUGUACAGGGUCGCUUCUGUCCCAGAGCCCUCUGUGAUUUCUGUCCUUUCACUCAAUUUGAUAGUCUUUCUGGAAAAUGCUGCCAUUGCAAUGAGGUAACAAGUUGUACAGAGCCGGUUAUCUGCUGCUUUGUUUUCCUCAGGUACAGCAGAAUUGCUGGAGCUGUGGGUGCCUGAGGAAUUCACCUCCAAGCAAUUGGGUUAAAACCCAGCUGGGUUAAAAAUAAACCCCAAUUGCUUUGAAAACAAUGUCGCUGAAGUGUCUCCUUAUAUGCUGGGGUGCUGCAUUAGACACCUCUUCCUCACUCACACCUUGCUGUCAUAUGCUGAGAGGAACUGGAAACAUGAGAACUAUAUUUUUGGACAAAGCAUUUAUAAGAGUCUUAUAAGGGAUUUUUUUUUUUAAUUUGAAAAAAAAGGUGCAAGAUUGAGUGCAUGUUUACUUGCCCCAGAUCAAAGGUUUUGAACACUAAGGUCACUAUCUGUUGAAUGGACCCUCCUCUUGACCCUCUUCUGUCUUCAGGCAAUUGAAGCUCCUGCCCUCUUUCUCUACCAGUUUUACUGUACCUACUUUGGUUUUCCCCCAGGAGAAAUAUAUAUACAAAAAUUCUCUAAGCAAUUAAAUGUUCAAGCCAUAAAAUCACGAGUGUGGGAAGACCCUCUUCACAACUUUUAACAUAUUUGUAUGUAAAAUGACGUUUGUAUGAAAUAUUUUCAUGGUAGAAUGAAUAUUUAAAAGAAAAGUUCCAAUAAGAUCUAAACCAAAUUUAAAAGAAUGUCUUUUUGUAAGAUGCAAAUGUAAUUGAUUACCAAUAAGUAGAUGUUUGUUUUUAAAGGGGAGAUGCAACAAAUAAUCUUUACAAUUACAAAUGGUCGUUUCUGCUGUUUGGGAAAGUAUUUAUGCAGCAUUACACAUGGCUAUCCUAAAUAACUGCAGUAGCAAGGCCAGUCGCAUCUUCAGGACAUACCUCUCAGCUUGUCCCUUUGUGAUACUAUAUGAACAGACCCAUCCCUCCUUUCUGCAGGUUUCCUCCUAGAAAACUUUUCCUACUGUAACCCUACUGAAUUUAACACUUGAGCUAAGAUCCAGACUAAAAUUGUGUAUUACUUAACAGUUUCCGCUGGGCCUUCUGCUAUUUUAAUACUCUUCAGCCCAUAAUUACUGGGUGUCUCUGUUCUGAAGAACUAAGUGCUAAAGAAUAAUCUUGGGGUGAGCUUACACGUGUGUUAACAGUUAACCCCGGAGUAUUUAACUUGUAUACAGUACUUGAUAGGUGUUUUAUGACAUUUGUACUCGAACUAUGAGCCUUACUGAACAUCUGUAGGUUUAUUCAUGACUUUUCAAAAAUGGAUAACUCUAAGAAAGAUGUUUACAUGAAUGAUGAUUGCCCUUCCUUUGAUGUUAUGAAUGAGGUUUUUAUAGUGUGUUUGGGUGUAUGUGCAGGGAAGUAAGAAAAAUGUUUCUGGGGAAAAAUAGACUUGACAAACAUUUGUAAUAAGUGAAUUUUAAAGAUUGCUUUAAUUGCGCUAUGAAGGCAAUGCAGAUAUUAAAAUAUUCAACAG